UGGGGAAUAUUGCACAAUGGGCGCAAGCCUGAUGCAGCCAUGCCGCGUGUAUGAAGAAGGCCUUCGGGUUGUAAAGUACUUUCAGCGGGGAGGAAGGCGAUAAGGUUAAUAACCUUGUCGAUUGACGUUACCCGCAGAAGAAGCACCGGCUAACUCCGUGCCAGCAGCCGCGGUAAUACGGAGGGUGCAAGCGUUAAUCGGAAUUACUGGGCGUAAAGUGCACGCAGGCGGUCUGUCAAGUCGGAUGUGAAAUCCCCGGGCUCAACCUGGGAACUGCAUUCGAAACUGGCAGGCUAGAGUCUUGUAGAGGGGGGUAGAAUUCCAGGUGUAGCGGUGAAAUGCGUAGAGAUCUGGAGGAAUACCGGUGGCGAAGGCGGCCCCCUGGACAAAGACUGACGCUCAGGUGCGAAAGCGUGGGGAGCAAACA
rnacentral:rRNA from 1 species